AAAAAGGUGGUUUUAGUUCCCAUUACAAGAGGGCCCGCGGCCCAUUAGCUAGUUGUGAGGUAACGGCUCACCAAGGGCGACGUGCGUAGCCGACCUGAGAGGGUGAUCGGCCACACUGGGACUGAGACACGGCCCAGAUUCCUACGGGGAGGCAGCAGUAGGAAUCUUCCGCAAUGGACGAAAGUCUGACGGAGCAACGCCGCGUGAGUGAUGAAGGUUUUCGGAUCGUAAAACUCUGUUGUUAGGGAAGAACAAGUACCGUUCGAACAGGGCGGUACCUUGACGGUACCUAACCAGAAAGCCACGGCUAACUACGUGCCAGCAGCCGCGGUAAUACGUAGGUGGCAAGCGUUGUCCGGAAUUAUUGGGCGUAAAGCGCGCGCAGGCGGUUUCUUAAGUCUGAUGUGAAAGCCCCCGGCUCAACCGGGGAGGGUCAUUGGAAACUGGGGAACUUGAGUGCAGAAGAGGAGAGUGGAAUUCCACGUGUAGCGGUGAAAUGCGUAGAGAUGUGGAGGAACACCAGUGGCGAAGGCGACUCUCUGGUCUGUAACUGACGCUGAGGCGCGAAAGCGUGGGGAGCGAACAGGAUUAGAUACCCUGGUAGUCCACGCCGUAAACGAUGAGUGCUAAGUGUUAGAGGGUUUCCGCCCUUUAGUGCUGCAGCAAACGCAUUAAGCACUCCGCCUGGGGAGUACGGUCGCAAGACUGAAACUCAAAGGAAUUGACGGGGGCCCGCACAAGCGGUGGAGCAUGUGGUUUAAUUCGAAGCAACGCGAAGAACCUUACCAGGUCUUGACAUCCUCUGACAACCCUAGAGAUAGGGCUUCCCCUUCGGGGGCAGAGUGACAGGUGGUGCAUGGUUGUCGUCAGCUCGUGUCGUGAGAUGUUGGGUUAAGUCCCGCAACGAGCGCAACCCUUGAUCUUAGUUGCCAGCAUUCAGUUGGGCACUCUAAGGUGACUGCCGGUGACAAACCGGAGGAAGGUGGGGAUGACGUCAAAUCAUCAUGCCCCUUAUGACCUGGGCUACACACGUGCUACAAUGGGCAGAACAAAGGGCAGCGAAGCCGCGAGGCUAAGCCAAUCCCACAAAUCUGUUCUCAGUUCGGAUCGCAGUCUGCAAACUCGACUGCGUGAAGCGGAAUCGCUAGUAAUCGCGG
rnacentral:rRNA from 1 species